UACGGGGGGGGUAAGCGUUGUUCGGAAUUACUGGGCGUAAAGGGCUCGUAGGCGGCCAACUAAGUCAGACGUGAAAUCCCUCGGCUUAACCGGGGAACUGCGUCUGAUACUGGAUGGCUUGAAUCCGGGAGAGGGAUGCGGAAUUCCAGGUGUAGCGGUGAAAUGCGUAGAUAUCUGGAGGAACACCGGUGGCGAAGGCGGCAUCCUGGACCGGCAUUGACGCUGAGGAGCGAAAGCCAGGGGAGCAAACAGG
rnacentral:rRNA from 1 species